UACGGAGGAUGCGAGCGUUAUCCGGAUUUAUUUGGGUUUAAAGGGUGCGUAGGCGGACUCUUAAGUCAGCGGUGAAAGUUUGCGGCUCAACCGUAAAAUUGCCGUUGAAACUGGGAGCCUUGAGUGUAGAUGAAGUAGGCGGAAUUCGUGGUGUAGCGGUGAAAUGCAUAGAUAUCACGAGGAACUCCAAUUGCGAAGGCAGCUUACUAAACUACAACUGACGCUGAAGCACGAAAGCGUGGGUAUCAAACAGG
rnacentral:rRNA from 1 species